rnacentral:rRNA from 2 species
GGCCCAGAUCGUUUACCGUGAAAAAAUUAGAGUGUUCAAAGCAGGCAGAUCCAAUUUUCUGCCACCGAAUACAUUAGCAUGGGAUAAUGGAAUAGGACCCUGUCCUCCUAUUUUCAGUUGGUUUUGCACGCGAGGACCAGGGUAAUGAUUAAUAGGGAUAGUUGGGGGCAUUAAUAUUUAAUUGUCAGAGGUGAAAUUCUUGGAUUUAUGAAAGAUUAACUUCUGCGAAAGCAUCUGCCAAGGAUGUUUUCAUUAAUCAAGAACGAAAGUUAGGGGAUCGAAGACGAUCAGAUACCGUCGUAGUCUUAACCAUAAACGAUGCCGACCAGCGAUUAGGAGACGUUGAAUACAAAACACCACCAUCGGCGCGGUCGUUCCUGGCGUCGCGCAAGCGGCGCGGGAGCGGCUUAGCCCGAUGGCACCGGUGAAUGACUCCCCUAGCAGCUUGUGAGA